AUAAACAAAUCCCAAGAUCUGAUGGUAAAGAAGAUUAAACUGAAAAGGAAGAAGAAUAAGAAGAAGAACAAAGUAAUCCAUCAAGAGACUUUGGGUGAGGAGGGGAGAAGAAAAGAAGGGGAGGAGGAAAACUGGAUAACAUUAGAAAAGAAACUGAACGAGAACACCAGAGAUAGAAAUAUGUGUCAAGUCGAGGAAUAGCUGUUGCAGGGGAAGAAUGGCUCUUUUUAAUAGGACUCUUCACAUGGAGCAAUUUGACACGUGUAGAACCUCAAGAGAUGAAGACUGAUGAGGGGUGGGUUUCUGGUGACUCGGGGACUCACAUCAUACCACCAGCCCUGCCACAACAGAUUGAGCUAUGCCAGAUUGACCGGUUUUCUGCAUAACUGGGACCGUUGCCAGCCAAACCCCCAAGACAUGAGACAAAUGGGUUAUGACUUGUGCAUUUCGCUCUCCCCCCCUGCACACACACACACACACAACUCAUGGCUCAGCGAGCAAAUCUCCUGUGCAGCACUCCCUCCCACACUGCCACUUGUGGACGGUUUCAGACUCUGCGACUAAUCCAAAAGAACUUGAGACACAUCCAACAACUCACCAAGCUGCAUACCAGAGCUCUCAACAAUUUGAUUUGACUUCACAAUUUCUAUUCAUUUCUACACAACUUUUUCCUCGUUUCUCUCUGGCCCCCACCAAACUGCGCACACAUUUCCAUAAGAAUUGCCCCACGAUUGCGUGGCUGGGGGUUCAACCUUGGACUUGAGAGAGAGAGAGAGAGCAAAGGACCUGUUGAUCAACGGCCAAGAUUGGACAUUUACAACGAGGCAUUGUGUUUGCCUUUUUUUCUUUCUAAAAAUACAACAAAAAGUUAAAUAAAAGAAAUUCUAUGGACAA